GCCCGCCUAGCUCAAUCGGAUAGAGCGUCAGACUCUUACGAGUCAUCGGGUGAUCUGAAGGCUGCGAGUUCGACCCUCGCGGUGGGCU
rnacentral:tRNA from 1 species